GAUGAACGCUGGCGGCGUGCCUAAUACAUGCAAGUCGAGCGAACAGACGAGGAGCUUGCUCCUCUGACGUUAGCGGCGGACGGGUGAGUAACACGUGGAUAACCUACCUAUAAGACUGGGAUAACUUCGGGAAACCGGAGCUAAUACCGGAUAAUAUAUUGAACCGCAUGGUUCAAUAGUGAAAGACGGUUUUGCUGUCACUUAUAGAUGGAUCCGCGCCGCAUUAGCUAGUUGGUAAGGUAACGGCUUACCAAGGCGACGAUGCGUAGCCGACCUGAGAGGGUGAUCGGCCACACUGGAACUGAGACACGGUCGAGACUCCUACGGGAGGCAGCAGUAGGGAAUCUUCCGCAAGGGGCGAAAGCCGGACGGAGCAACGCCGCGUGAGUGAUGAAGGUCUUCGGAUCGUAAAACUCUGUUAUUAGGGAAGAACAAAUGUGUAAGUAACUAUGCACGUCGUGACGGUACCUAAUCAGAAAGCCACGGCUAACUACG
rnacentral:rRNA from 1 species